CAACCUGGUUGAUCCUGCCAGUUAGUCAUAUGCUUGUCUUAAAGACUAAGCCAUGCAUGUCUAAGUAUAAAUAGUAUACAGUGAAACUGCGAAUGGCUCAUUAAAACAGUUAUAGUUUAUUUGAUAAUUAAAUCUACAUGGAUAACCGUAGUAAUUCUAGAGCUAAUACAUGCUGUAAGACCUGACUCACGAA
rnacentral:rRNA from 1 species